rnacentral:lncRNA from 1 species
GCUCCGCUACGAUCAGUUUGUCAGCUGAUUGAUUGUCACGGAGUCAGCUGUUAAGUCUUAUUUGGCUAAUCCCUCCCUCCCAAUCCAACUUACGGCGUAGUGAAUCCUGUGGGUUGUCGUUGGUGGUUGUAAUUCCCUUCGGUAUUAACUCACAUCACUAAUAACAUUUCACAGAACAAAAAUAUCAAUUUUUGUACAAGACGAUCGAAUGUUGAAUGCAGGUUUAGGAACACACCAAACACACACUAAAAUAGAAGGGAAGUUAAUAUUUCCCUCGCCAGAUGGUGAUAAAAUAUUAUAAUCAUCCAAUUAGAGAAUUAUUAUUGAAUCCAAUUAAUUUCAUACACACUUUAGGUCACUGGCUGAAUGGCAAAGUAAAUCCUUUGACAAGCAGGUUACCACUUAACAAGCAGUUCAUUUCUUUAUUUUAACUGUUCCGCCUCGGCUGCCACCAACCACGUGACGGCACUCGGCACUCUCUUCGGAUGAAGUUAUCCCCCUAAGAGGGGAACCUAAGAGAUAAUCCCAGAGGCAGAGGCAUAGCAGCAGCAUUUUAUGCAUCAUUUGAAUGGUGCACAAGCACUGUAGGUGGCCCACACCCACGCGACUUGCUUUGCACACAGAAAAAACACACGUGACACACACACACACACACACACACAUGCACAUAAUUAUGUAAGCUCCUGCUCCUUCCCGGACAACAGCUGAUUGCGGCACAGGAAAACGAGACACACAAACACACACAAAAAUUUACAAAAUAUUUGUUUGAAAAGUUUCGGAAAGCACGAACACGUCAGAGAGCCAGCGAAAAAUCUUUUGCAUUGAUUUUGAAACACCACCCCACUGCUGCUGGCAGGGAACGCGACGCAAUUGAACGACAACGAAGCAGGGCAGAAUGAAAGAAAGCAAAAACCACCGAAUACCGUGCCCGAAACAAAAGCGGGCAAAACGGAACACGGGAGUACAGCAAGGACGUAGCAGCAAGCUUAAGGCAUCAUCCAGCUUUGACUGGAACUAAACGGAAUGUUGCUGCUGGCAUUCCGGGCACUGCUGGUGCUGCUGCUACUGCUACUGCUGCAGUGGGGGCGCAACUAGUGCGCCAUGCUGUGGCACAGGACAGUCACAGGCCGCCCGCCUCGUCGUGUGUCACUGAGUCGAUUGACCGUUCGGUUCGGGAGGGCGACCGAUAUCCUUUCCCUGUAGUUGUUGUUGUUGCUCUACCCAACACGAAUAAAUAUUGGGAUGAAUGGGUAUAUAAAUAUAACCAGAUUAUUG